UUUCCGUAGGUGAACCUGCGGAAGGAUCAUUAUUGGAUUUUGAAACUUCAGGCUGCUGCUGGCUCUCCUCGGAGGGCAUGUGCACGCUUGUUGUCCAUUAUUUCUCCCACUGUGCACAAAUUGUAGACCUUUCAGUAGGCCUAUGUUGUUUUUCACAAUCUCUUAAUGUAAUAGAAUGGUUUUGAAUCUUGGGAAAUACAAUACAACUUUCAGCAACGGAUCUCUUGGCUCUC
rnacentral:misc_RNA from 1 species